AUUUCUUUUUGAGAUUGCAAGCGCAUGGAAUUUGGGAUGGGAAACAAGUGCAUCGUGCCACUCCUGGGAUAUUUCCCCUGGGUGGAGCUGCCUGGUCCUUAAAAAAGGAGUCUCCAUCACAGUGCUGUCAUUGUCGUGACAGUCAGAAUUGUUCUUUGGAGCCUCUGAUUCCUUGAGACCCAGGAAGGAUGUCUCACCAACAGCAUCCGCAUCCGCAUCCGCAUCCGCAUCCGCAUCCACAGCAGCAUCAGCAUCACCAUCACCAUCAGUGCAAGGAGCCCUGCCAUCCACCUCCAAAAGUGUGCCCACCGAAGUGCCAUGAGCCUUGCCCACCUCAUCCAUGCCCACCUCCAUUGAGCCAGAAGAAAUGCCCUCCUGUGCCACCAUGCCCACCAUGGGAGCAGAAGUGUCCACCCAAGUGGAAGUAACAGCACCAGAUUUCAUCUGGACCAAGAAACAAGAUCCAGGCUCUUCCACUGUCCUCCCUUCAGCCAUGGUGACAGACUGUAUCUUCCUUAGUCUCCCUCCUCAACUGACAGCUGACAGAGUAAAGGCCUGGUUGCAGAAGCUGACACCACGUUGUUGGAAGACAAGCUGCAGGAUCAUUGCUUGAUCUCUCUAUGCCAUGUGCCCGUCUGCAAUCCGCGUUGUGAUCUCUACCCCAUGAGCAAUUAGUGUCUAUUCCUUUGCUUCUCCAAUAAAGCAAAUUCAUAGCCCAUUA